rnacentral:rRNA from 1 species
ACGCUCGACACUACGGGGGCAGCAGUCGGGAAUAUUGCGCAAUGGAGGAAACUCUGACGCAGUGACGCCGCGUGCAGGAAGAAGGUUUUCGGAUUGUAAACUGCUUUAGACAGGGAAGAAAAAGGACAGUACCUGUAGAAUAAGCUCCGGCUAACUACGUGCAAGCAGCCGGACGGUAAUCUGAGGCGGGCGUGGACGAAGGC